AUGUCUUGUCUUAAUCCGGCAAACAACUUCUCAAAGUUUAACAUUGACAAGCUUAUACGGCUUGCUGAAAUUUAUGUUGAGGAUUUUACACAAGCUGAACGGUUUUUGCUAAGAUAUGAGCUUCCAACAUUCCUUACAAAUAUUAGGAGAAGUGAGGAAUUUAAUGCAUGUCCAGAUGUUUCUACCCUUGCUCGGUUGAUGGUUCAAACAACAAAACAUAGAACUUUCCAAUUGGUAUAUCGCCUCAUCGAGUUGACAUUAAUUCUUCCAGUGGCAACUUCAUCAGUCGAGAGGAUAUUUUCAGCAAUGAAGAUCAUCAAAACUGAUUUGCGCAAUAAGAUAUCAGAUGAUUGGCUUAAUGAUUUAAUGGUUUGCUAUUGUGAGAAAAGGAUAUUCAGAAGUAUUCCUGACGAUCAAAUUAUGAUACGAUUCCAGAAAAAGAAAGAUCGAAAAGGACAUUUGCCUCCUGAGUAUAAUGCGAUUUCUUAG
rnacentral:rRNA from 1 species